AAUUCUGGAUUCUGAUUGGUCAGAAGGCGUUGAUUAAUUUUCUAUACAAGUCCUUGUCAUUAAGCAAAAGCGGAGUGAAAAUCUUUUGCAUUGUACAAGACAGAAAUAUUAUGUAGAGGAUGAAAGAGUGCGAGUCGAAAGCUUUUUACUGUAUAACAGGAAUUAAAGUCAAGACUGGUCAGAUUGUUAAAUCUUUAUCAAUCCUUUCCUUAAAGGAAGUAAGAUUUAUUUCUACAGAAAUGAAAAUGAAAGUAUGUUGUGUAUGUACAGUAGGAUUGGCCGUGGUGGUUAGGGAAGGUCUGUACGCUUACAAGGUGAGUUCUUCCUCCACAUAACACCAUCACGCGUAACAUCCAGCCCAACGUCGACAAACCAGCAGAGCAGAAACACAACAACGACUUCAGCAGCAGAAAACCUUUUUUAAUCCGUUUACGUGGAACGUCCAUGUGAGUGUACAAGUCCAUGUAUAAGUGUGUGUGUGUUUGUGAGGUUAGUGAUCGUGUCCCCGCUGUUUCGGACGUCCUCUCUCUCUCUCUCGCUGCUUUCUCCCAUUAUGAAGGGCUUCUGGGACACCGCGUGGGCUGUUUGGAGUUUAGGGUCUACCAUCUAUGACUACUUCCAAAAAGGUGAAGCAGAAAAGCACACACGGGAUAUGGAGAAGCGCAUACAGAAUCUGCAGCACCAAGUGAACGCUCGGGAGAUCAUCAUCUUCAGCCAGCAGUGUGUUAUUAGCCUGCUGAUCGCAGCGCUGGUGGUCAUGUGCACGCUGCUGUACAUGAGGAGGAGGAGGAGGAACUAAUCCAAACCGCCACUAGUGUCACCUCAUACAAAUAAAAUCACUUACUAUAACUUCCUUUUUCACUUCCUCUUGUUCGUUGUAAAUAAAUGUAAAUAAAAUGUAAAAAAUGUGGUAUUAAUGUUUCAGUUUGAUUCCCCAAACUACUGAAAUAAAUUAUAAAAAGAGUUUUAAGGUUCUGCCGUAUUAGUUUUUUUUUCUCCUUCAUUAGAUCUCGCCAUCACUAUACACUAUACUCCUCUAUCACACUUCACAUUAAUUUCAUUAUAGUCACUAUGUAAUAAACACUGUGUGUGUGUGGUGCUGUUGUAGUAAAAUAAUCAACAGUGGUGUGGUGUGAUGAGGCGGAGUUACCGUUAACACUUUUAAAGUGGAUUAUUUUCCUAAAACAGCAUGUUGUUGGGGUUUUAUUCCUUUUAUAUCACAGCAAUUUACCACUAAUUACAAUUUAACACACAACUUUUCUUUUUUUUC